GGGGGCCCAGCAAGCGCUUACUUACCUUCCCAGCAGCUCCCUUCAGCUCCCCUGUCUAACUCUCACGAGUCCCGCGGCCGUCAGUGUUGCCACAGAGUGACGCAAGAUUUAGACGGGGGCUGAAGGGAGCUGCUGGAAAGGUAAGUAAGCGCUUGCUGGGCCCCC